CAGUUUUUAUCAAGUUUAUUGCACACUUCAUUCAUAACAAUACAACAAACUUUUUACAUCUUGUUCUUGUUCCCCAAAAAUAACAUAAAUUAAAUCACAACCUAUGUAUUCAUACUAGUGCAUACAACAACCAAUCGCAUACAUCCUAGACGUCAGGAUCAACUGACUUCAAUUAUCCAUUAUACAUUUCCUUUUUUUCAUAUUCUUUAUGCAUACUUCCAUUCAUCAUUUAAAACAAGAGUUAUCAUCUUCGCUAGCUAAGGAUCUAGUCCCCUCCUCUCUGGUGAGGCAAAGAUACGAUUUAGUCCCCUCUCCUCUGGUGAAGCAAAAAUACAAUUUAGUCCCCUCCCCCCUGGUGAGGCAAAGAUACGAUUUAGUCCCCUCCCCUCUGGUGAGGCAAAAAUACGAUUUAGUCCCCUCCCCUCUGGUGAGGCAAAGAUACGAUUUAGUCCCCUCCCCCCUGGUGAGGCAAAGAUACUAUUUAGUCGUGGUGAGGCAAAGAUACGAUUUAGUCCCCUCCCCUCUGGUGAGGCAAAAAUAUGAUUUAGUCCCCUCCCUUCUGGUGAGGCAAAGAUACGAUUUAGUCCCCUCCCCUCUGGUGAGGCAAAAAUAUGAUUUAGUCCCUCCCCUCUGGUGAGGCAAAGAUACGAUUUAGUCCCCUCCCCUCUAGUGAGGCAAAGAUACAAUUUAGUCCCCUCCCCCCUGGUGAGGCAAAGAUACGAUUUAGUCCCCUCCCCUCUGGUGAGGCAAAAAUACGAUUUAGUCCCCUCCCUUCUGGUGAGGCAAAGAUACGAUUUAGUCCCCUCCCCCCUGGUGAGGCAAAGAUACGAUUUAGUCCCCUCCCCUCUGGUGAGGCAAAGAUACGAUUUAGUCCCCUCCCCUCUGGUGAGGCAAAAAUAUGAUUUAGUCCUCUCCCCUCUGGUGAGGCAAAGAUACGAUUUAGUUCCUCUCCCCUCUGGUGAGGCAAAGAUACGAUUUAGUCCCCUCCCCUCUGGUGAGGCAAAAAUAUGAUUUAGUCCCCUCCCCCCUGGUGAGGCAAAGAUACAAAUCAGUCCAUUCCUCUCAGGUGACACAAUGAUAACGAUCUAGUCUCAUUUUGUCUAGCUAGGCAAAAGUUAAGAUCCAUUACUCUCCACUCUGGCGAGGCAAAGAUUAAGAUCAAUACCCUCCUCUCUGGUAAGGCAAGGAGACAAAUUGAUCGUAAUCCUAAACUAGCGAAGAUGAAGAGUUAUAUACAGUUAUCAUUUAAAUUACACACACAAAUUUAUCAAUAGAUUUCGAAAAAUGUUAGAAGUU
rnacentral:lncRNA from 1 species